GUGGGGAAUUUUGGACAAUGGGCGCAAGCCUGAUCCAGCAAUGCCGCGUGCAGGAAGAAGGCCUUCGGGUUGUAAACUGCUUUUGUACGGAACGAAACGGUCCUGGUUAAUACCUGGGGCUAAUGACGGUACCGUAAGAAUAAGCACCGGCUAACUACGUGCCAGCAGCCGCGGUAAUACGUAGGGUGCAAGCGUUAAUCGGAAUUACUGGGCGUAAAGCGUGCGCAGGCGGUUUUGUAAGACAGGCGUGAAAUCCCCGGGCUCAACCUGGGAAUUGCGCUUGUGACUGCAAGGCUGAAGUGCGGCAGAGGGGGAUGGAAUUCCGCGUGUAGCAGUGAAAUGCGUAGAUAUGCGGAGGAACACCGAUGGCGAAGGCAAUCCCCUGGGCCUGCACUGACGCUCAUGCACGAAAGCGUGGGGAGCAAACAGGAUUAGAUACCCCGGUAGUCC
rnacentral:rRNA from 1 species